GACGAAGGAUGCAAGCGUUAUCCGGAUUCAUUGGGUUUAAAGGGAGCGUAGGCGGCCCGAUAAGUCAGUGGUGAAAUCUCCUCGCUUAACGAGGAAAUUGCCAUUGAAACUGUCGGGCUUGAGUACGAUUGAUGUGGGCGGAAUACAUCAUGUAGCGGUGAAAUGCUUAGAUAUGAUGUAGAACACCGAUUGCGAAGGCAGCUCACAAAAUCGCAACUGACGCUGAGGCACGAAAGCGUGGGGAGCAAACAGG
rnacentral:rRNA from 1 species